rnacentral:rRNA from 1 species
UAUGUGAUCGUCUCUCGCAUAUCAAUAAGCGGAGGAAAAGAAACUAACAAGGAUUCCCCUAGUAACGGCGAGUGAAGCGGGAAGAGCUCAAAUUUGAAAUCUUAAAGGGUUUCCCUUUACGAAUUGUAGUUUAAAGAAGUGUUUUCCUGUUGAGGUUUUGGUAAAAGUUCUUUGGAAUAGGACAUCAUAGAGGGUGAGAAUCCCGUAUUUGACCUUUACUUUCAACUUUGUGAUACACUUUCAAAGAGUCGGAUUGUUUGGGAAUGCAGUCCAAAAUGGGUGGUAAAUUUCAUCUAAAGCUAAAUAUUGGCGAGAGACCGAUAGCGAACAAGUACCGUGAGGGAAAGAUGAAAAGAACUUUGAAAAGAGAGUUAAACAGUACGUGAAAUUGUCAAAAGGGAAGCGUUUGACACCAGUGUUGUUUUUCUGAAAAUCAAUUAAAGAACUGUUUAUUGCUAAGUUGUUUAGACUUUAUCAGCUAAUCUGCUUAGUUUUGAGCUUUUCUUUAAUGCACUUUUCAGUUAACAAGUCAACAUCAAUUUCUUUUGCUGUAAAAAAGCUUGAGGAAGGUGGCUUGAGAUUCGUCUUAAGUGUUUAUAGCCUCUUGCCUAUGCAGUCGGAGAGAUUGAGGUCUGCAGCGUAGAUCCUUCGGGGCUAAAUGCAUUUGUGCUAAGUUAUAGCAUUUUAUAGACAACUUAUUGACUAUGAUUUGUCUUGUAGCUUACUCGCUUAUGUUAUUUUACCUACGCUUAGGAUGUUGAAUCUGUGCGAGACUAC